rnacentral:lncRNA from 1 species
AAUAUGUUGUUGAUGGCAGAUCAUGGUGUCUCAAACAUGGAACAGGUUGGAAGAUACUACCAUUUCACAACCCUGUUUACACCCCUACACACUGCCAGUGGUUGGUGCCAAGCUCCAGCUAACCAAGUUUCCCCAACUCAUCCACAGUCCUCUUAGCAUACCAGUAAGAAUCCAUUUCACAGAAGCAACCUUGCUCUUGGCUUCCCUCUCAUUUCCUCUGAUCAUUUUAGUGCCACU